GAACAUUUUCCCAAAUAAAUACCUACGCAGAGCUGUUUAGGUUUUUGCGUUUAUCUUGGCAUUCUCUCUUUGGAGCAAGCCCUGGCCUUUUCUGCCUCCUAAAGAAUGUUGACUUUCCUCAGAAAAGCCUAAAUUUUAUAGUUUAAAACAUAAAGGCUUUAUCAUUUCAUCAUUCAGCAUUAACUUUGUACUUCUAAGAAUGCUGCAUUUUUUAUUUUCAAUAGUUAUCACACAUGUUCGUAUGCCUUACUUCUAAAUAUGGUGCACAGAUGCUUGGGAAAUCACUUGAUACAAAUAGCUGUAUUAGUGACAGUAUGCCCAUACUUCUGUACUGUGUUCUUGCUUAAAAAUUAGAUUUCCCAAAGCCAAAUUCUAACUUACUUUGUCCCUUUUACCUUGGUAUUAUGAUUCUUUGAUUGCCUUUUCCAAUUUCUAUUUUAAAAAAAUAAGUCAGUCAAGUCAGUUUAUUCAACAGACUAACAAUAGAGACUCAUGCCAUUGUUGAUUAGUGGAUUAAAAUGUGUAGGAAGUAGCUGAAUGGUUUAUACACACCAUAUUAUUUCAUGCAAAUGAAAGCUUAUAGUUAUUAGACUCCAGCUUUAGCA
rnacentral:lncRNA from 1 species